AGUGAACGCUGGCGGUAGGCCUAACACAUGCAAGUCGAACGGCAGCACAGUAAGAGCUUGCUCUUACGGGUGGCGAGUGGCGGACGGGUGAGGAAUACAUCGGAAUCUACUUUUUCGUGGGGGAUAACGUAGGGAAACUUACGCUAAUACCGCAUACGACCUACGGGUGAAAGCAGGGGAUCUUCGGACCUUGCGCGCUUCAAUGAGGCGAUGUCGGAUUAGCUAGUUGGCGGGGUAAAGGCCCACCAAGGCGACGAUCCGUAGCUGGUCUGAGAGGAUGAGCCGCCACACUGGAACUGAGACGCGGCCCAGACUCCCACGGGAGGCAGCAGUGGGGACUAUUGGACUAUGGGCGCAAGCCUGCUCCAGCCAUACCGCGUGGGUGAAGAAGGCCUUCGGGUUGUAAAGCCCUUUUGUUGGGAAAGAAAGGCAGCAGAUUAAUACCCCGCUGUUCUGCCGGUACCCAAAGAAUAAGCACCGGCUACCUUCGU
rnacentral:rRNA from 1 species